ACUCCCACGCCCUAAGCCCGCGUCCCCGAGGCUAGCCGAGCCUGGCUGGCUUUAAGUGCUUCCACUUUCAGUCACUCUGCGAUGUCCUCCUGCCCUGCAGCGCCCUCGGAUCUUUUGUUUCACCUCGGAGGUGUCUUUACAGGCUUUUCGUCAGGCGCUGGCUUUUUCACCCCCUGCUCCACGCUCUAGCUUUUCCUAGUUGUCCUCUUGCAAUCCACGCUGUCGCCUGGCCACCCCAACCCAGGCUGUUCCCUCCCUACCUCCAGCCCAGCAGCGUCCCCUGCCCUCCUCUCUGAUCCUGUCGCUUCCCUGGCAUCUUCAUCCUGUGCUACUUGGCUGUUCAGUGCCCGUCACGUCACACCGAAGUUUGGGAUGAUGUCUCGUUAAGCUCUUCACAGAGCCGAGCACCAGCAAGGGACUGGGUAAAUAACCGCUUAGGAAUGCAAUGAAUGGCAGCCUUGUCUCUCCCAGUGUCAGUGAGCUAUCUUCAUAGGUUUGGAAAUGUGGUGUUCCUGUGUGCAAGUAUUUCGCAGUGAUUUAGAGGUGUUAAAAUACUUUGUUCUGAUGAAACAAGACUUUCUGAGGGACCUUUCUCUUGUAAUGACGACGAAUGAAGCUGGUGAUUAAGAAAACCUAAAAACCUGUUGAAACUGUUGUGUGACAGAAUCAAGUCAAAGGCACUGUUAACCAUCCUGCAGAGAUAAAGUUUAGCUUUCCUGUGUACACUCGGGGUCCAGAAUUCACCCUAGAGAAUUUUAUCAGUAAGAGCAAUUCCCGGUGAAGAUGUGAUAUUCUUUUGGCCCAUGGAGGCCAGAAGAGGAAGACAAGGUGUCUGGGGCUGGACUUCCAGGUGGAGUUAUGAACCAGGUUGUUGUUGCUGAUACUCAAACCUAGCUCAUCUGGAAGAGAAAUGCUAAUAACUGACCUGAACUAUCUCUCCAGUCUCCCUCCCCCUCCCCCCCAAAAGAGAUUUGCUAAGAUCUACAAAUGGUGCACAUAAAAAUACCUU
rnacentral:lncRNA from 1 species